CCCGACCGUAGCUGCUACCUUGACGUGGUGGUCGGGCUUGCCUAUCGUGAUGAUCCGACCGAGCCAUAUUGGCUGGAACAUAUGUUCCUGUAGAUUCUACCAUGCCAGGCAGGUCGAUUGGAGAACGGUAAGACUAAAAGCAGC
rnacentral:ribozyme from 1 species